GAUGAACGCUGGCGGCGUGCCUAACACAUGCAAGUCGAACGGAAAGGCCCUGCUUUUGUGGGGUUCUCGAGUGGCGAACGGGUGAGUAACACGUGUGUAUCCUGCCCUUGACUUUGGGAUAACUUCACGAAAAUGGGGCUAAUACCGGAUAGGAGCUCCUGCUGCAUGGUGGGGGUUGGAAAGUGUCGGCGGUUGGGGCUGGACUCGCGGCUUAUCAGCUUGUUGGUGGGGUAGUGGCUUACCAAGGCUUUGACGGGUAGCCGGCCUGAGAGGGUGACCGGGCACAAUAGGACUGAGGUACGGCCCAGACUGCUACGGGAGGCAGCGGUGGGGAGUAUGACGCAGUGAGCGGGAGCGUGAGGCGGAAGCGCCGCGUGCGGAAUGACGGCCUUCGGGUUGUGAACAGCUUUGGCCUGUGACGAGGCGUGAGUGACGGUAAUGGGUAAAGAAGCACCGGCUAACUACGUG
rnacentral:rRNA from 1 species